CCUACGGGUGGCAGCAGUGGGGAAUAUUGGACAAUGGGCGAAAGCCUGAUCCAGCCAUGCCGCGUGUGUGAAGAAGGCCUUCGGGUUGUAAAGCACUUUCAGUGGGGAAGAAAGCCUUGGGGCUAAUACCCUCGAGGAAGGACAUCACCCACAGAAGAAGCACCGGCUAACUCCGUGCCAGCAGCCGCGGUAAUACGGAGGGUGCGAGCGUUAAUCGGAAUUACUGGGCGUAAAGCGCGCGUAGGCGGUCUGAUAAGCCGGUUGUGAAAGCCCUGGGCUCAACCUGGGAAUGGCAUCCGGAACUGUCAGGCUAGAGUGCAGGAGAGGAAGGUAGAAUUCCCGGUGUAGCGGUGAAAUGCGUAGAGAUCGGGAGGAAUACCAGUGGCGAAGGCGGCCUUCUGGACUGACACUGACGCUGAGGUGCGAAAGCGUGGGUAGCAAACAGGAUUAGAUACCCGAGUAGUC
rnacentral:rRNA from 1 species